ensembl:snRNA U2 U2 spliceosomal RNA
AUUGCUUCUCGGCCUUUUGGCUAAGAUCAAGUGUAGUAUCAAAAUACAAAACAAAACAAAAAAAAUCAGGAAUCUGGCUCUCUGGUGUACUUUCUCUCCUUAGGAGAGUCAGUAGCCCACUAGGACCUGCUUCUGGCUCACUAGGUCUCAACCUUU